CGGAAGAGGAUUGUCGAGGACA
rnacentral:miRNA from 1 species